rnacentral:lncRNA from 1 species
GGCAACCUCGGGGCUUGCCAGUGUUGUCUGAAGCUGUUCUGGGAAGGAUGCAAGCAGGAAGCUCUCCUUUUAUGCCCCAGGGGAGUGGCAGGGAUGGGGAGCUCAUUAUUCCCACCUCAUUGACAGCCAGGAAGAGCCCAGAACGGUGAGGAGGGGCCCUGCUGCUCUGCAUCAGGGCUGCACCCAGUCCUUUGUUGGGGAAUGCAUUAUGCUCCAAAUUUCCUCCUGUUUUCUGACCUUGGGUGUUACGAGAAGCCGUAAUCCUCUGGUUAUCAGCUGAGUCAGCUGCUCGCCUGCAGCUCAGUGAUAGGGGAAGCCCGGGUUUUCGGACUGCGAGGAUGCGAUGGUAUCAAGGCGCUCUUUGUGGGAAGCAUGGGGUGUGCCACCCCCUUUGUCCACCUCUUCCUGCCCAUCCCUGGGGUGAUUUAUGGCUUGAGACACAUCCCACAGCCCGUGGUGCUGCAGGGAGCCCGGGCUGGGUGACAGGAAAGUGCCUGGGCUGCAGGGAAGCCAGGCAGGGUGGCACCCAUAUCCCAGCACAGGGGAGGGGGUCAGUGAGGCUCCGAGGCAGCUUUUACACCCAGGGGGCUCCUGGCAGAGAGCAGGCAGAGUUUCCCAGCUCUUCCCACCCCUUGCAGACACACCGAGGGCAUGCACACACACACACAUCAGUGUCCUGGGCUCCCCAGAGUCACAGCACCCUGGGAAGGGUCCGCAUGAACAGGGUGUGGGCUGGCAGCCGGUGUCCCCCCUGUGCUCCUGCAUCUGCGAGGUGGUGACUGUGCUGCUGAAAGGGAAUUUAGGACAGGUUUGGAUUCACUCCUGUCCCAGCACAACGCCCGUGGCCGUGUGUUUGCCUGGUCACCACCGCUGGCUGCUGGUGCUUGGGGAGGUCAGAGCCGGGGUUUUGGGCAGCGUCAGCACCAGCAGAGCCCGGGGCGGCUCCGUGCAGCUCCCGGUGGUGCCGCUGGAAGCAGAGGCUGAGCCUUUGCCUGGGCAAGCAAACGCGUCUGACUCAGCCACGGCGGGGAUGCUCAACGUGCCUGCCCGAACCUGUCCCUCAGCAGGGAACGAAACACCAAGAUCUUCCCUUCACCCUUCCUCCAGUUCCCUUCCCAGCACGUUUUCUGGAGGUGACACGCGUUGGCUCAGCCAAAAGCCUUCAGCCAAGUCCGGGCCUGCUGGGCUGCUCUGCUCCCUGGGCUCCUGCGAGUCCCUGAGCUCGUCCCCAGCCCCGGGACCUCAGAUCUCAGCCAGCAGCUGGGGGGCAGAGAGGCACCACGGAGAGGCAGGGGGCUGCCCGGUGUGGGGCAAUCCUUGGACUGACCAUGGCAAAAAUUUCCAGCCCCUACUGGGAUACGUGUGGUGGUGGCACAAG